ensembl:lncRNA
AAAGUUGUCUGGCGUUGCACAGGUUGAAGCGCGAGGCCUCUUGAGGUCACAGUGUUGGGGGGAAAACACAUUACACAUUCACUACAGCACGAGAGGACGGGGACCCGCGCAACUGCUUUCCCCCUCGUCUUAUCUCUCGUUCUGUUCUCCCGUUGUGUCGUGCGAUUGAGAGCAUUUCAAUGGCAGGAAUCUUUGUUUUGUUGAAUAGCGCGGCCUGGUCGCACACAGAUGCCAAGACAUUCCUGGAGCUGGUAGUCUUUCCUUUUGGCAGGCCUGCACCUCUGUCUCCUCUCCUCUCCUCUCCUCUCCGUGUGCUCUCUUUAUUUUCACUCCUCUUCGUGACUUGGUUCCUCCUCGCGGUGACAGUCAUGGAGAGAGCGGCGCAGUACAGUAGGUCCACCUGAUGGACCGGAAAAUGGACUCAGUCCUGCGGAUCUUGAUGCAGCAGUUUCCGCCCAAGACGGAGCUGACGUACAAGCCCUCCAUCCGCAGGGUGACCAUCCAGAACCGCAUGGGUGCCAGCAUCGAUGAGGGGCUCUGAUGUAACAGCGAUGGUCACGCUGGGUACGAUGGUGUCAUCACCAAAGAAGGACUAGAAGUUCACAACAGCCUAGCCCACUAUAUGGGGAGCAAGCCUGCAAAUAAUAAGGGGGCUCAGUCUUCCAAAAUAAACUCUCCCUCUCUUCCAUUUGCAAUCCCACCUUUUCUUAUUGACUUUUGACCACUGAGAAGAGAACAACCUUUAAUUGUCCACUUGGCGCCGGGUUCCUCUGGGAGUGGGAUUCAUGGUGUAGAAAGAAGGCGAACUGACCUCUUCCUUCUGCCACUGUUGGCCCUGUUUGAUCCGUCUAAAUCAGGGGUGUCAAACUCAUUUUAGUUCAGGGGACACAUGCAGCACAAUUUGAUCCCAAGUGGGCCGGACCAGUAACAUCACAGCAUAAUAACCUGUAAAUAACCACAACUCCAAAUGUUUCCCUUCGUAAGUACAUUCUGAAAAUGUUCAAACUUAAUCUUUUUACAAAAUAUUAUGAACAACCUGAAAUCUCUUAAGAAAAAUAAAGGUGCAAUUUCAACAAUAGUGUUUAUCAUUUACACGUGUGUGUUACAACUUACUGAUCACAGUGUAUCUACAAAGAUGUUUACUUUCUGAUCAAAACAACUCAUUAAUACACUUUGCAAAGUCAUCCCGCGGGCCGGAUUGGACCCACUGGUGGGCCGGUUUUGGCCCACGGGCCGCAUGUUUGACAUCCCUGGUCUAAAUGUAGCUUUCUCUUAUACACCAGCAUUGUGGGCCCUCAGUCUUCCCCCGCAGGACACAGUGAUUCAAUCAUGGACACGCUAUAUGAAUUUCCCUCUGUUAACCUCAUAAUCACUCUGCUCAGAUAAUGCUAAUUUAUGUGUGGCCUGACAUUGAGCUGCAUUCCUCCACUCCAAAUAUUAUUCCAAAGCUAACUAACCCAGUAAUGAAGUCAUAAUGCAAUCAAAGCACUUAAGUUCCCCAAAGACACUGGCAGAGGCGUUCCUCAAAUCCUUCUGAUUAUCUUGGCACUCUCCACCCCACCGGUACACAACACUGUUAUUUCCAUAGCCACAUAUCCAUCUAGUGUAACUGUACUUAGGCUGCGACGGGUGUUUGUUAGUAGUGAUCGAAUAACACGAGGAGGGAAGUGCACAUUAUCUGUUGACUUUGCCCGACGUUAGGAACCGGAAGGCUGGAGUAAAAGAAAUGGAACUAGAGAAAUGUGUGUGAGGUGGGAGGCUAACAUGGUGCUGAUUUACAGCUACAUUGAAGCGAAUGAAAAUAGCCAAACUGUCCGUGACAAGGCGCGGUGCAGGAAUACAGUCCGAAAUUAGGGGCGGGGGUCCCUCAGAUUAUUACGCGUACAUCGAUCUCAAACGCUUUUAACGGCACCACUGCUCACUCCACCCUGCUUAAUAUCCUCCAUUACUCUCUUCAGGGGGCUCCCACUGCUGUGCGCAAUUUGAAAUAAAUUUGCCCCAUUAAAGCUCUGAUUAUUUUUUCUCUGCUGAGCUAAUUAAGUGCUGAAUUCCUGGUAAAGGGAGAUUACUCACUGUGAGCGACUAAUGAAAAGAAACACUGGAAAAUGUGCAGAAUUUAAACAGUAAGCUCUGAGGAGCAGGCGCACUAAUUCUGUGUGAAAGGUUUUGGAAAUAUCUCCGCUACCACCGUUUGAAAUCCAAAUAAAAAAAAAGACAACGCUGUCACUUUGUUUCCCCGUACUUAUCUGACGGGAUGCCGAGGCAUGUAGGAAGUAGAAAAUAGAAAAAUAAGUGUGUAACUACUGUGUGAAAGGCCUCCCGUAAUUAUAGCAUGCACGUUCCUCAAGAGACGGAUGCACACACACACACACACACACACACACACAAGAGGAGUGAACAAGAGGAGAGAUAAUAGAUUCCUUCUCACUGCACUAGUAUAUAUUUUCAUAUUUUUUUUUGUUGCGUUGGUUGAAAAAAACAUUAAUCUUACAUUAAAUAAAGUGGUUGUAUUUUGAAAAGGUACUCUAUUUUUGUGACAGAUCUUGAUACAUAUCCGCCUGUCUGUUCUUCUGUACAGUUUUAUAUGAGUUGUAAAUAGACAUUGCCUUAUUGUACGGUAUUUAUUAUCAUGUGGAAAGAUCAACCUGGAACAUGUCUACUUAUCGGAGCGAUGAGAAACACACAGAGUACGACUCCUGUUGUACAGAUGGAUGGAAAUGAUUGUAAAUGAUAUUCACGCACACCCUCUGCACUGUAGCCCUGCUGUAAAUAAUAAAACUCCAUUUCAUUAUGCUCUGGCCUGCUCUCUUGGCUUGCGAGGAAUUUGAUU